rnacentral:rRNA from 1 species
GACGAACGCUGGCGGCGUGCCUAAUACAUGCAAGUAGAACGCACAGGAUGCACCGUAGUUUAUUACACCGUAUUCUGUGAGUUGCGAACGGGUGAGUAACGCGUAGGUAACCUGCCUGGUAGCGGGGGAUAACUAUUGGAAACGAUAGCUAAUACCGUAUAAGAACAUUUACUGCAUGGUAGAUGUUUAAAAGGUGCAAGAGCAUCACUACCAGAUGGACCUGCGUUGUAUUAGCUAGUUGGUGAGGUAACGGCUCACCAAGGCAACGAUACAUAGCCGACCUGAGAGGGUGAUCGGCCACACUGGGACUGAGACACGGCCCAGACUCCUACGGGAGGCAGCAGUAGGGAAUCUUCGGCAAUGGGGGGAACCCUGACCGAGCAACGCCGCGUGAGUGAAGAAGGUUUUCGGAUCGUAAAGCUCUGUUGUUAAGGAAGAACGUGUGUGAGAGUGGAAAGUUCACACAGUGACGGUACUUAACCAGAAAGGGACGGCUAACUACGUGCCAGCAGCCGCGGUAAUACGUAGGUCCCGAGCGUUGUCCGGAUUUAUUGGGCGUAAAGCGAGCGCAGGCGGUUAGAUAAGUCUGAAGUGAAAGGCAGUGGCUCAACCAUUGUAGGCUUUGGAAACUGUUUAACUUGAGUGCAGAAGGGGAGAGUGGAAUUCCAUGUGUAGCGGUGAAAUGCGUAGAUAUAUGGAGGAACACCGGUGGCGAAAGCGGCUCUCUGGUCUGUAACUGACGCUGAGGCUCGAAAGCGUGGGGAGCGAACAGG